rnacentral:rRNA from 1 species
UACGUAGGGUGCGAGCGUUGUCCGGAAUUAUUGGGCGUAAAGAGCUUGUAGGUGGUUUGUCGCGUUGUUCGUGAAAACUCACAGCUUAACUGUGGGCGUGCGGGCGAUACGGGCAGACUGGAGUACUGCAGGGGAGACUGGAAUUCCUGGUGUAGCGGUGAAAUGCGCAGAUAUCAGGAGGAACACCGGUGGCGAAGGCGGGUCUCUGGGCCGAUACUGACGCUGAGGAGCGAAAGCGUGGGGAGCGAACAGG